rnacentral:lncRNA from 1 species
GCUCAACCACUGUAUUUAAGUAACUUCAGCCCAUUGGAAAUUAACUGUUCAAGAAAUCUGUGGCAUGAGUGCAGUGCAUCUCUCUCUCUCCCGUUUGUCUCCCGUGUGUGUGCACAGUACGUUGCUGAGAGAAGCCGUGAUCUUGAGCUAAGGAAACGAAAGCGGAAUUCAGAAGCUAGACAAAAGUAGCAGCAACUCUGUUGAAGCUCCAUAACAAGCUGCAAGCUCGGAUUCAUGGGAGAUCGUGGUAAAUUUCGAAAUUUACUGAAAUAUGUGUUUAAUUUGGAAAUGCACGAUUAAAGGGCAUAAAGUGUGUUUUUGUUUCAUCAAUUGGUAUCAGAGCCCAUGGUUAUGCGUUUCCUUGUAAACCAUAGUUGUUUUGUUGAAGAAAUCUCACUCAUGGAAUUUUUUUUAUUAUUUUCGGAUUUUUCGAAUUCUUCGAAUUUGGACAUAUUUCCUCAAACGGUUGUUAAAUAAUGCAUGAGUGAUGAUUUUGGAGCAAAGAUAUAAUUUUUUCGUGUUUUUUGGUGGCCAAAAUCGGGUUGGUAUGGAUGUGGAUGCUGUAAAUGUACUGUACAAUACUGUAGCAACAGCCCGAGGUUGAAGAUGAUGGGACAAUUUCAUUUGGAUCCCUAAAUUUUGUGAAUUAUCACUAUGGCCCAAAAUCUUUGCAAAAUUUUCGAAAUGGUCCUUGACCGAGGGUCAACUUUGUAAAAGAUCAGUUUGAUCCCUUAAAGUUUGGUAAAUUAUAUUAUGACCCAAUAUUUUAUUUUAUUUUAUUUAAAGCUGGGCCAAAAGUUUUAAUAUUUAAAACAGUAAGCAUAAUUCUGAAAAUUCGGUAGUUUAGUCCAAAAUCCUUUAAAUUUUGGCGAUUUUUUCAGAAUUUUAAAUUUAAGAAUAAUCCAUCAUUGUUGAAUUGUAUGGGCAUAAUAUUCAUAUAUUUUAUUGAGGCAUGUAGAUAUUUUAUUUGAUUGAAUAUCUUGGUGGAAACUUUAAUUACGUUUUGACAAAGUUUAUUUAGCCUCAAUUUUGUUAAUAUACGAAAUAUAUAUAUGAUGCAAAACUACAAUUUAGAGUGAUUGUGUAUCUGCUUAUCGUAGGACCAAUCAUGAUAAAUUAUUUGGUGUUUUGCAAUUGGUUGUCCAUUUAUAAUUAUGAAUUAUGGAUUAUGUGAUGGAUUGUUAUUGUUUUGACCAAGAUCCAUACGGGUGAUGAUACUGCCCUGUCGGCAAAUCACUACUUGGUAGGAUGCUUGGGAAGAUAAAGAGGUUUGUUGAGUAUUUUCUACUGAGUGGCUUGAUUACCCUGUCGGUAAUAGGUCAAUGUUGGUGUUAUAUUCAACUUGUCUGCUUUAUCUUUAGGUUAGUGCAUUCCUAUAUUGUUAAAGGAUGCCUAACAUAUUGUGUUGCUAUUGGAGAAACUUAGAAUGAGGAGCAAUUGAUUAUAGCAUGAUUUUAAUUUUUGCAUGCUUGAUAAUUCUUUUGUUAUUGCUUCCUCAGCUCUAGAUAUUCUCUCAUUUCUCCAAGUAGCUUUCCUCAAGAAUUU